rnacentral:lncRNA from 1 species
CCAGAAAGUGUGCAAGAGUAGAUACCAUGAAAGUCUUCUUAGUAUUAUCAGCACUCCUCGCCCUGCUGAUGUCUCGGGCGACAAUCACAAGUGCACAAAAGUGUGACUGUCCAAGUGACUUCUCACCCGUCUGCGGCCGAGACUUGAGGACCUAUCCUAAUGAAUGCACAUUGGGGUGUGCAAAGCAGAGGAAAGCAUACAAUGGACACUGCAAGAAACGAGGGAACUUCUACUAACUGGCUACAUCACUCUUCAGGAUAAUGAUAAAU